UAUCUCUGUAGAGUCUGCAUAUCAAUAAGCGGAGGAAAAGAAACUAACAAGGAUUCCCUUAGUAACGGCGAGUGAGGCGGGAAGAGCUCAAAUUUGAAAUCUUCAAGGUUCUACCUUGACGAAUUGUAGUUUAUAGAAGUGUUUUCUGUUAGUAGAGUGGCAAAAGUUCUUUGGAAUAGGACAUCAUAGAGGGUGAGAAUCCCGUAUUUGGUCAUUCUUUCUAGCUUUGUGAUACACUUUCAACGAGUCGGAUUGAUUUGGGAAGUGCAGUCCAAAAUGGGUGGUAAAUUUCAUCUAAAGCUAAAUAUUGGCGAGAGACCGAUAGCGAACAAGUACCGUGAGGGAAAGAUGAAAAGAACUUUGAAAAGAGAGUUAAACAGUACGUGAAAUUGUCAAAAGGGAAGCGUUUGACACCAGUGUUGUUUUUCCGAAAAUCAAUUACGAAUGUUUUGUUUUUGAGAAGUUAUGACUUCAUCGGCUUGCUUCUUUCUUUACGAAACUUUCUUAAUGCACUUUUCGGUUAACAAGUCAACAUCAAUUUCUUUUGUUGUAAAAGGGUACGAGGAAGGUGGCUUUCUUUUCGGAGAAAGUGUUUAUAGCCUUGUGCCUCUGCAAUCGGAGAGAUUGAGGUCUGCAGCGUAGAUCCUUCGGGGUUAGAUACAUUUGUGCUAAGUUAUAGCUUUUCAUAGACAACUUGUUGACUAUGUUUAGUCUUGUAGCUUACUCGCUUAUGCUAUUUUACCUACGCUUAGGAUGUUGACGCAUGAGAUAUACGC
rnacentral:rRNA from 1 species